ACUCACUUUUAAUCAUUUUAACACCUUCGGACUUUCCGAAGUGUACCGUCCUCGCACUUUGGUCAAUUUGACUAAAGUUCGAUAUUUAUUUUCCGAAUUUUCGGUAUAUUACAAACUAUGACUUGAUACUUUGUUUAGUUUGACGUUUAUGUUUGAUCUUGAUAAGUUUACUUGAAUCUUGAUUAUGUUUUAAGAAUGUUUUUGUAGGAAUAAUUCAAGACUUCAAGACUCCAUGUCUAAGUCAUAGAGUCUGUAUUAAGGUUAUGAAAAUUGUAAUUUUCGGUUAUUGGAUCGAUCAUGCAGGAGAUUAUCGUUUGGUGAUUGCGAUGAUCUUCUUUUUAUUGUUUCUGAGUUGUGUACGAACAUUGUAGUAUAUUUUGUCACGAAAUCGCCAAAGGGGGAGAUUGUUAAGGAUUUUAUAGGUUGGCGAAUUUCGUAAAGUUGAUUGAAGUCUUGAAGAGUUGAUCGAGGAAGUUUUUGAAGAAAAGAUUCAAAUUGAAGAACAAAGAUUCAUUCGUAAAGUUCGGCACCUAAGGUAUGGAGAAAAGAUCAUUUGUGGUGAAGAUACUUAAUUGGAAUAAGUUCAGAAGGCUUAGAUUGCUUUAAAACUUUUUUACUGAACUUUUCUGUGUUCUGGGACCGGUCCCUGAGGUGAAGAGACCGGUUUCCGUAAGGUCCUCUCCGCGUGAGUUUUAAUGCAACCGGUCCCCUGAGAUGAGAGACCGGUUCCCGAACCUUGGUAAUUCUGUCGCGCAGCGAGGGACCGGUCUCAAGCUUGAGAGACCGGUUCCCGAACGUUGUGUUUUUGGUCACGCAGCGAGGGACCGGUUCCUCACUUGAGAGACCGGUCUCUCACAGACCAGUCUCCUCGAGAGGAC
rnacentral:lncRNA from 1 species